GUAUCUGCAUAUAGUCAAAAAAGUUCUUCACUUCCAAGAGCCAAUCAAGGAAGCUUUCAACGUGGAGAUGUCCAUUGAAAUAUGGUAGAUCAAUUUUUACUUUGAAGUUGGAAUUACCGUUGCGACCCCUCUGAUUUUCUCCUACCGCUGCGUCCUCAAGUUCAUCCUCACUGGAGGAAUCGUCUCCAGCGUUGCCUAUUGGUGGCUGUCUGAGUCCCCUCCCUCCUCUAGGGUGAGCUUGAUCCCGUUGCCUUUCAUUAUGGUCUAUAUUGCCUUCCACAUGGAGGUUGGUAAUAGACCUAUGGAUCUCCUGCAAGACACGCUUGAUCCUUUUGAACUGCUGCUGGUUUUGUUGGUUUUGCGUUUGGACGGAUUCCCAAGGGCCUCAUCUCUAGGUUGGUUGUUUUCGUUUCUUGCCAUUGAGCCAUGCGAAACCUUGCUCCAAUGCCAAUUAACGUAGCGGGAAUGUACAAUAUAGGAAAAUUCAAGAAGGGCUGUGUCUUCUCAAACAAUGAAUCAUAAGUUUAUUGAUAAACUCUGUAAUGCUUACAAUAAUUCAGAUCAUCCCCCAUUACAUUAUUCGGUUCCUUAAUAAGUUCCUUAAUAAAGGAAGCUUAGGCAACUUAGGAAAUUAAUUCAAAAUGGAAAGCAGAAUACUGUAACGUUAACAACUAAGGUAACUUUUAUUGGAAUGGACAUAAAAUCUGCAAGAGUAUUUUUAGGAAAGAAUAAAAUCGGCAAUCAUCCUUGAUUUGUGCUUGAAUCUUCUGAUGGUCCCUCCAUUCCUGGUGUCACGUCUGCUGCAUCAGUGUAAUUCUGCUCAACUUGCAUCUGGUUUGAAGGCUUGCACGUGCUAUUGUCUGAUGCAUCCUUAAUACGAGAAACAUCAAUUUGUGUCAAGAAGUGCUGCUGCAAGAUGGGUAGAGGAAAGAUUGAGAUCAAGAGGGUGGAGAACACUACCAAUCGUCAAGUCACCUUCUGCAAGCAGAGAAAUGGACUCUUGAAGAAAGCUUACGAAUUACCAGUCUUAUGUGAUGCAGUAGUAGCAUUCAUCGUCUUUUCUAGUCGUGGACGCCUCUAGGAGUACUCAAACAACUUGUCUGGUUGAUUCCACAAGUGACUUCUUAUGCAGCAUCCAUGAGGACCUCCACUGGAAUCUAAGAAAGACCCAGUCUUUUGAUGGUCCUCGAGAUUCAUAAUUUCCUUUCUCUCCAUUAGUUUAUUACAUAUGAAAGAAAGAAAUUGUAGAUGGUAUUUACUUAUUUUCUCAGACGCACUGCAUGGUGUCAUCGUAGAAGGGGCCUUGGGGGAUGUAACUUAAUUUUUUUUUGCUCCUUUUCUUAUUGUUCUAUCCCCCAUAUGAACAGCUGAAUGUCAGCAGAUAAUGAUGAAAAGUAGAAGAUAGAAAGUGUUUGUUAUAGGAUCAACGUUUUAAUUGUCAAAGACAAACUUGUAGGGUUUCACUUGUUUACUAUAUGAAUAUAUCUGGGCAUAUAAAAUUGUUGAAGGUUUGCACUA